rfam:Trichobilharzia regenti genome assembly, scaffold: TRE_scaffold0014693
GUACUGCUGAAGAGUCCGAAACUAGGAUGAAACAGCUGUCCAGUAC